CCUACGGGGGGCUGCAGUGAGGAAUAUUGGUCAAUGGACGAGAGUCUGAACCAGCCAAGUAGCGUGAAGGAUGACUGCCCUAUGGGUUGUAAACUUCUUUUAUAUGGGAAUAAAAUGUUCCACGUGUGGGAUUUUGUAUGUACCAUAUGAAUAAGGAUCGGCUAACUCCGUGCCAGCAGCCGCGGUAAUACGGAGGAUCCGAGCGUUAUCCGGAUUUAUUGGGUUUAAAGGGAGCGUAGGUGGAUUGUUAAGUCAGUUGUGAAAGUUUGCGGCUCAACCGUAAAAUUGCAGUUGAAACUGGCAGUCUGGAGUACAGUAGAGGUGGGCGGAAUUCGUGGUGUAGCGGUGAAAUGCUGAGAUAUCACGAAGAACUCCGAUUGCGAAGGCAGCUCACUGGACUGCAACUGACACUGAGGCUCGAAAGUGUGGGUAUCAAACAGGAUUAGAUACCCCAGUAGUC
rnacentral:rRNA from 1 species